GAUGAACGCUGGCGGCGUGCCUAAUACAUGCAAGUCGAGCGAACAGACGAGGAGCUUGCUCCUCUGACGUUAGCGGCGGACGGGUGAGAAACACGUGGAUAACCUACCUCUAAGACUGGGAUAAAUUCGGGAAACCGGAGCUAAUACCAGAUAAUAUAUUGAACCGCAUGGUUCAAUAGUGAAAGACGGUUUUGCUGUCACUUAUAGAUGGAUCCGCGCCGCAUUAGCUAGUUGGUAAGGUAACGGCUUACCAAGGCAACGAUGCGUAGCCGACCUGAGAGGGUGAUCGGCCACACUGGAACUGAGACACGGUCCAGACUCCUACGGGAGGCAGCAGUAGGGUAUCUUCCGCAAUGGGCGAAAGCCUGACGGAGCAACGCCGCGUGAGUGAUGAAGGUCUUCGGAUCGUAAAACUCUGUUAUUAGGGAAGAACAAAUGUGUAAGUAACUAUGCACGUCUUGACGGUACCUAAUCAGAGAGCCACGGCUAACUUCGUG
rnacentral:rRNA from 1 species